AUCAUAGUUCAUUCAUAGCUCUCUCUCAUUCUCUUAUUCUUAUAUAAACCUCUCUUCUGCUGCGAUUUCUGAUCAUCAAAUCAAAUAAAGAUGGGUAUGGUGGUGGUGAUAUCCCUGCCGUUGAUCUUGUUCAGCCUAUUGCUUGGAUUUGGGUGCUUUUACUUGGGAAGAGCUAGAGGAAGACAAGAUAUCAGAACCAAUCCACAAGUUUUUGGGGUGCCAGCGCCUCCGCCAGAGUUGAAGAACGAAAAUAUUGUUUGGCAACUGAGAAAAUCAGUGAGAAAAUAAGAACUGAAUCUAAGGGUUUUCUAUAACAUCAUUUUCAUUAAUCACGUUAUUAAUAAUAUGUACAAUGCUGUUGCUAUUUAUACUAAGCUGAAGCUCAGCUCAGAUAGUUGUAAUUAGCUACAACUAAUUAACUAAUUCUAGCAACUAAUCAUAACAGCUUAAGUUAAUUAACACAUGCACAACUAUUUACAUAACCACCAGGCUCCAGCUGGCAUGCCAUGUCAUCAACUCGUAAUUGAAUGUGGCUGCUGCUGUGAUCCCCUGCUCUGCUGACCAUCUUGCAAAUAUGAGCUUCCUUAACAUCCCCCCUCAAGCUCAAUGGCAUGUUGAUGACAUUGAGCUUGAAUCGAAAAUAGUUAAACUUGAUAAAUGACAGAGCUUUAGUAAGGACAUCAGCAACUUGUUCUUCAGUAGGAAUGUAUCUUACUUCUAAUUCUUUUCUAACCACUUUGUCUCUAAUGUAAUGAACAUCCAAUUCAAUGUGUUUAGAUUUAGAGUGAAGAAUAAGAUUUCGGGCUAAUUCUCCAGCACUCUGAUUGUCACACCAAAGAAUUAGAGUUGGUAAUUGCAUAAUAUUAAGCUCUGACAGUAGGGAUUGCAACCAAGAGAGUUCUGAACUUGCUGAAGAUAGUGCCUUGUAUUCACUCUCUGUGUUGGACUUAGCUACAAUAACUUGCUUCUUUGUCUGUGUUGGACUUAGCUACAAUAACUUGCUUCUUUGAUGACCAGGAAAUCAGAUUAUUACCAAGGUAAAUACAGUAAGCCCCAAUAGAUUUUCGAUCAUCAACAUCACAUGCCAAGUCAGCAUCAGAGUAACAUGUUAGACCUGUAAUUCCAAGUGUUCCCUCAUUUUGAAUGUAUAAACCAUGAGUGAUUAUAUCUUGAAGAUACCUGAGAACUUUCUUGGAUGCUAACCAGUGCUGGAGUGUAGGAUUGCUAAGAUACUGGCUGAGUUUAUGUACAUAAUAUGCAAUGUCAUGCCUGGUGAGAAUUAAGUAUUGAAGUCCCCCAAUGAAGCUUCCAUAAAGUGCUGGUUCUUCAAAUUCUUGCCCCAGUGGACCCUUAACAUUUUUCUCCAGUUUGAAACCAGUACUGAAAGGUGUAUCUGACCUUUUGCAAUUUUGCAUUGAGGCUUUGCUUGACAAAUCCUUAAUAUAUUUCAUCUGUGAGAGAUGCAUUCCAUGAGCUGUGUAACAAACUUGUACUCCAAGAAAAUAGGCCACUAAUCCCAGGUCCUUGAGAGCAAAAACCUUAUUGAGUUUAAUAAUGAAAUCUUCAAGUAAUGCUGAGUUAGGGCCAGUAACCAAAAUAUCAUCAACAUUGAUUAAGACAAUAAUAAUGCCUUUUUCAUAAUGUUUAACAAAGAGAGAUGUGUCAGCUUGAGAAUUGAAGAAUUUCCAAGUAGUAAGGCAGCUUUUCAGGUUAUCAUACCAAGCUCUUCGAGCUUGUUUCAAUCCAUAUAGUGCCUUGUUAAGCUUGCAUAUGUAGUCUUCUUUGGAUACAAAACCCUCAAGCGGAAUCAUAUACACAUCCUCUGACAAAUCCCCAUUUAAAAAUGCAUUAUUGACAUCAAUUUGUCUAACCUUCCAACCUUGCAUGACAGUUAGGCUAAGAAUUAAUCUCAUUGUUAAGGACUUCACUACAGGACUGAAUGUUUCUGAAUAAUCAAUACCUGCAGUUUGAUGAAAUCCCUUGGCUACCAACCUAGCUGUAUAUUUUGAAACUGACCCAUCUGUGUUGUACUUGGUUCUGAACACCCAUUUGCACCCAACUAGUUUAUAGGAUGAGCACAAAGCCACAAGAUUCCAAGUUUUGUUUUUAAUCAUAGCAUUAUAUUCAGUCUACAUUGCUGCUUUCCGUUUGGGAUCAGAUAAUACUUCUGAAACAGUAAAUGGUUCCAGGCUAUUGUGAUUUGUUAAGUAGGCUUUUAGUUUGAAUAUACCAGCCUCUGCUCUAAUGAUCAUUUUAUGUGUGAAGAGAAUUAGUUUAGGUUGAGAUAAUUGUGUUGGUUGAAUUUGAGAGUGAGAUAUGAUGGGUUGUAAGGAUGAUGUAUUUUGUGUUGUAUCAGUUAGAGGUAUAAAGGGAAUUGGUUGAGUUGGUGAAGAAGUUAUGGCUGAAUGGGAUAAAGUAGCAGGUGGUGAGGGUUGAGAUGAUGUGUUGUGAGAGGGUGGUGAAGAUAUGGUAUCAAGGUGAUGAGAAUAUGGAUCAUUAUCUACAGUAUCGACUUCAAAGGUGUUUAAAUUGCUAUUGGAAACAUGAAUAAUAUACUGUUGAAAAAGAUUGUAUUGAAAUUCAGAAGAUUUGGAUGGAGAAGAUGAGUUGAAAAUAGAUGAAUAUGGAAAUGAGGUUUCAUAAAAAAAUAACAUGACUAGCUAUAUAGAUUUUACCAGAGGGAUUGAGACAUUUGUAACUCUUAUGCAAAGGACUAUACCCCAGGAAAAUACAUUUAGAUGUAUGAGAGUGAAACUUGUGUUGAUUGUAGUUUCUGAGAAAGGGAAAACAUAAACAUCCAAAUGUUCUUAAGAAUUUGUAAUCUAGAGAAAUAUGAUAAAUAGAUUCAUAAGGAGAUUUCAUUGAUAGAAUUGGGGUGGGUAAUCUGUUUAUGAUGUAUGUGACUGUAUGGAAAGAAUCCCACCAGAAUUUAAUAGGUAAAGUUGCUUGUGCAAGUAGAGUAAGACUAAGUUCAGUAAUAUAUCUAUGCUUUCUCUCUACUAUUCCAUUUUGGUUGUGAGUAUAUGUACAUGAAUGUCUAAAGUGAAUUCUCUAUGUGUGAAGAAAGUUAACAAAGGAUCUAAAUUCUCCACCUCAGUCUGAUUGAAGACAUUUUAUAGGUUUGUCAAGUUGUUUUUCAAUUUGGUUUUUGAAAAUUUUAAAGACUGACAAUGUUUCACUUUUGGUUUUCAAAUGAAAUAUCCAAGUAAAUCUUGUGAAACCAUUAACAAAGCUUAUAUAAUAUUCGUAGCCUUGUAAUGAAAUCACAUGGGUUGGUCCCCAUAAAUCAGUAUGCAAUAUUUCCAGGGGAGACUUUGUUUUGAUAUCAGUAGCUGAAAAAUGAAGCUUGUGCAUUUUUCCUAUUUUACAAGCAUUACAGAAAUCAAAGGUUUUAUUCUUAUGGACAAGAUUGAGAGAUGAACAUGAUUUGAUUACAUGAUUCAAGAUCUUAGAAGAUGGAUAUCCCAAUCUUUGAUGUAGUACAUAUGUACUUAACAAACACUUAGAGUUUUUACAGGAAGUUGCUGCAAUAUACAUGCAAGAGGUGUUAUUUGAAAGAGUAAAAUUGACAACUGAAAACAUUGAAAGAGGAGUGGUUGAUACAACUGACUCAACAACAUAGCUUUGAUUAGAAGUAGAAGAGACUGUCUUAUUAGAUGAAACCAAUAGCAAUUUGUAUAAACCUUUUUCAGCCUUGCCCUGCAGUAUGAUCAAAUUCCUCACCUUGUCCUUCACAAAACAAAAGUUAUCAGUAAACUCUAUCACAACAUCAUUAUCUUUUGUGAGCUUAGAGAUGCUAAUGAGGUUUUUAGUAAUUUGUGGCAUUAAAAGGAUAUCAUCUAAUUUAAUAGUUAAUGAGGCAUUAUUGGAGUUAUAUGAUUUCAAUGCAGCACUUCCAAUAUAUGUUAUAUUCAAUCCAACAUCAUUGCCAACAAAAAGUUUAGAUGCACCUGCAAAAGCUUCAGAAACGUGCAUAUUGUUGAUAUCAUUUGUCAGAUGGUGUGUUGCACCACUGUCUAGAUACCAGUUUGCAUCAGCAGGUCCCUCCAUAUUAGCCAAAUAUGCAAAUUUUGGAUUUCUGUUUGGUGGUGGUCUGUAAGCUCCAGAUGCAAUAAACUCUUUAAGUUUCCAGCAAAUAUUAACAAUGUGACCUGUUCUGAAACAAAUUUGACAGGUUGGCUUAUAGACAUUCCACUGAGGCUUAGUGUGUCCAGGUGGUCUGCUAUUGUUAAAUCCACCAUUUCCAGCAUUUUGAUUCUAGUUACCUCCUCCUCCACCUCUCUAAUUAUCUCCUUGAUAAGCUUUGAACCGAUGAUUGGUGCCAUAAAAAUUUCCAUUGUUAGCAUUAAAUCCAAAGCCUCUAUAACCUCCUUUGUAGCCAGCAUUGUUAAUGUUUCCAUUGUUUCCAUAGCCAGAAUUAUAUCCAAAGCCACCAAAACCUUUUCCUCCUGACAUAUUUCCCCUUUUAUAACCUCUGUUGUGAGCAAGAUUAGCCUCAAAAUUUUGUUUCAUAUUUGUAUUAGCCAGCAUAUGAGUUUGUUGUUCAAUCCUAGCUUCUUGAGUUAGGAGCAUAGCAUAAGCUUUGUUUCCAUUCAUUUUCCCCACUCCUACUUGUCCAGUAAUGUAGGUAGCAACAGAGUUAUAAUCUGGACCUAAGCCAGAGAGUAUAUGCAGGAUUAAAUCAUCAUCACUUAAUGCAUUUCCUGAUGCAGCCAUAUUAUCGGCAAUAUUUUUCAUCUUAAUGAAAUAAUCAGUAAUUUUUAGAUCAUCUUUCCUAGUUGAGUUCAUCAUAUAUCUCAAGUGCAAAAGCCUAGAUUUAGAUUGUGAUCCAAACUGAACUUCAAUAGCUUUCCAUACCUCACAAGAAGUCUCUAGAUUGAAGACUAAACUAAUAAUACCUUCACUCAUUGAAGAAAGCAACCAGCCAAGAAGCACCUGAUCUUGUGAUCUCCAAGUUACAAAGUCUGGAUUCUCUACAGAUCUCAGAUCAUCUCUAAUUCUUUGAGCAAUGUGUGAAGGAGGUGGAGUGGUUGAGUCAUCAAUGAAUUUCUCAAGUCUGUUGCCACGAAUUAAAGCAAGAACUUGAGAUCGCCAAAUCAAAUAAUUGGAUUAAUCUAGCUUAAUAGGUGUAUUGAAAGUAAAUGUCACAUUUAUUGAGUUAACAUCUGUGUGAUUGACUGGCGCUUGAGAAGAAAAAGAAGCUAGAUGGACUGAAGCCAUUGCUACUAGCUCUGAUACCAAGUUGAAGAACGAAAAUAUUGUUUGGCAACUGAGAAAAUCAGUGAGAAAAUAAGAACUGAAUCUAAGAGUUUUCUAGAACAUCAUUUUCAUUAAUCAUGUUAUUAAUAAUAUGUAUAAUGUUGUUGUUAUUUAUACUAAGCUGAAGCUCAGCUCAGAUAGUUGUAAUUAGCUACAGCUAAUUAACUAAUUCUAACAACUAAUCAUAACAUCUUAAGCUAAUUAACACAUGCAAAACUAUUUACAUAACCACCAGGCUCCAGCUGGCAUGCCAUGUCAUCAACUCGUAACUGAAUGUGGCUGCUGCUGUAUGAAAAAAUAAUAACCAGGAUGCUUGAAAUACAUAAAUCGUGAGCUGUUGAUUCUGAUACAACAGUUUCAUCCGAGUUUCUAGUAGAUGGUAUAUGGCUAGAACUCUUUUCAGUAUGAGUUUGAAUUCGUUCCUCCAAUGAGGCUUGUGGUGUUUCACUGGAUUUAAGUGUCCUUUCCAGGUCAUAAAGUGUUAUAGAUUUUCCUUUGUCUGCAACUCCUUCACAGCAAGUUAAAUGUGGAGUGAAAUCCUAAGAUUGUAAAGCUGGUAACUUAUUUUGAAUUGAGCUGUUUUGUUUUGUCUUUUUAUCCCACUCAUCCAAAGAUGCUAGUCUUGCCGUUUGAAGCUGUACAGAAUAAUUAGAAGAGUCAACAAAAGGAAAGCACAUUUCAUCAAAGAUCACAUGCCUUGAUAUAUAUAGUCUCUUAGUUGUCGGAUCAAGACAUUUAUAACCUUUUUGGUUUAAGCUAUAUCCAAUGAAAACACAUGGGUAUGUUUUCUUUGUAAAUUUACUCUUACCAUACUUCUUGAGAUAUGGAAAGCAUCUACAUCCAAAUACCCGUAAUGAUUUGUAGUCUGGCUGUUUAUUGUAUAAUUGGAAAAAUGGGCUCUUUUUCUUCAACACUGUGGAUGGCAUUUUAUUUAUCAGGUGUACAGCAGUGAGAAAUAUAUCAACCCACAAAUUUUGUGGUAAAUUUGCUUGAUACAUGAGGGUGAGACCUGUUUCUACCACAUGUCUAUGCUUUCUCUCAGCUACUCCAUUUUGUUCCGGAGUGUGUGGGCAUGAAAUUUGAUGGAGAAUUCCACAUUUUUUCAAGUGAUUUUUAAAACUUCCUGAUUGAAAUUCACCCCCUCCAUCACUUUGGAAUACUUUGAUUCUCCUGUCAAAUUGGUUUUCUACAAAACUUUGAAAUUCCAAGAAACAAUUAAAAAAAUCUGAUUUAAAUUUCAAGGGAUAUAGCCACGUAAAUCUGCUACUGUCAUCAAUAAAAAUAGCAUAAUAAUUAAAUCCUUGAGUAGAUGAGAUUGGGGCUGGUCCCCAUAAGUCACAAUGAAUUUUCUCAAGAGGAAAGUUCGCAACUUUAUUGGAAGAAUUAAAAGGUAGUUUGCAACUUUUUGCCAUUUGACAAUUAAUACAAAUAUUUUCUGAUUUUUUCCAACUCGAUAUAUCAAUGAGUUGUUUUUCUUGUAAAAUUUUCAGAAACUUUUCAUGAGGGUGCCCCAUUCGUCGAUGCCAAAUGUCAAAAUUUGCUUUAUUUCCUUGAAUUGAUGUGUAUGCUUGCUUUGCUUUCUCCUCGAGAGCAUACAAUCCUCCUUGUUUAUGUCCUUUCGCACGCGUCUUUCCCUGCUUGUCCUUAAUCAAGAAACCAUUUGAUGAGAAAACAAUAACACAUGAAUUGUCAGUUGUUAACUUCCCUACUGAUAGGAGAUUCUUUUUAAUAUCGGGAACAACAAGGAUAUUUUUUAGGUUCAAGCAACCGUGAUUGGUAUUUAACACAGUAUCACCUAUGUGUGUAAUUUUAAGAUCCUUACCAUUACCAACAUAUAAAGAAUCAUUUCCUUUAUAUGGAAUGAUUUUUCUUAUAUUACCUGAGUUGUUGGUGAUGUGAGUUGUUGCUCCAGAGUCAGCAUAGAAUGUAGGAUCAUCAUCUUCGUCAUUUAUAUGCAUGGCAGCAAGAGCAUGAGGAAUUUCCCCAGAUUGAUACGAGUGAUCAAACCUGCUUCGACAUUCUAAAGCUGUAUGUUUAGGUUUAAAGCAAAUUUGACAUAUAGUUUUAUCACCUGGGUCCACGUUUUGUUGAUUGGCAUUCUUUAUGUCACUGUUGUUACCAGCAUGAAAUUUCUGAAAAUUGUUAUUGUUCUGUUGACUUUGGUUCACAAAAUUUUGAUUUCCAUUCCUUCCUGCUGGCGUAAAACCCCUUCCCCUUGAGUUGAAGCGACCCCCCUGAUUUCUACCUCUUCCUCUCUGGCUGAAAAAGGCUUGUUCAUGGUUGACGAAUUGCUUCUUAUCUUCUUGCUCAUUGCAUAACAUCUGUUCAUGUCCUUGCAAGGCUAAAACAAACUGAUUAUAUGUAGGGUAUGGAGGUUUUGCCAGCAUUGCUACCUUAAAGUCUCGAUAUUCUGGUCCAAGUCCACGUGCCAAUUGAAAUACUUUAUCGACAUCGUCCACUGGUUUCUUCACGGCAGUCAAACUAUCACAAAUAGUUUUGAAUUUUCGAAUGUAUUCAUCUAUAGUCAGCGAUCCUUUCUUAAGAUUCAUUAGACGAUCGGUGAGGUAAACAAUCUUUUCUUUUGUCAUGGGCAGCAGCUGCACUUCAAGAGACUUCCACACUUGGUGGGCUGAUUCUGCUCCGACUAUCAUCCCUAGCACUUCUUCAGACAUGAUUCCCAAUAACCAGGAGGUUAGAAGGCCAUCAUUGUUAACCCAAGUUUCAUAUUUAGGAUUGGGAACGCUUUUGCCAUCAUCGUCUUCCAUCUCAGCCUCUGGUUUCCCAACUCCUGUUAGAUGGUGCAUCAAUCCAAGGCUAUGCAGUAACGGAAAUACUUGAGAUUUCCAAAGCAAGAAGUUUGAGGGGCUGAGCUUUAUAGAUAUGAGGCUAGCACAUUGGUGAAAGGAUGAGAUAGAGAGUGAUGGUUCUUUGUUGGCCAUGUUCAUUAUUCUCACGAAAGCUCUGAUACCAUGAAAAAAUAAUAACCAGGAUGCUUGAAAUACAUAAAUCGUGAGCUGUUGAUUCUGAUACAACAGUUUCAUCCGAGUUUCUAGUAGAUGGUAUAUGGCUAGAACUCUUUUCAGUAUGAGUUUGAAUUCGUUCCUCCAAUGAGGCUUGUGGUGUUUCACUGGAUUUAAGUGUCCCUUCCAGGUCAUGAAGUGUUAUAGAUUUUCCUUUGUCCUCAACUCUGUAAUCCUCUGCUCUGCUGACCAUCUUGCAAAUAUGAGCUUCCUUAACAGCCAGGCACAGGCAGUGAAGCUACGACAUUCACUUACCCAUCCCCUCCUGCUGCUGCUGCUACUAAAUUCAAGCCUGACAAUUCAGCCAACGUCUAGACUCUGAUUAAUUCAUUGCUUUGCUUCGUCAGCAUGUGCAGAUAUUGUUUUUCCCCUCUUCUGCUCUGGGUGUGUACAAAUGUUACUGUGUCCCUGGGAGUAACACUCUGCGUUCUUCUAAAUUGAAUAUGUUGAUACAAUUUUAUGUUGAGUUUGCGUCAGCAAAAGUGCUGUGGAUAAUAAUAAUCCGGUUAGGGUGGGGAAAGAGACACUAAGAUUUCAUCGUAUUGGUUAAGAUGCAAUGUAUUAUAUUGUUUUUAUUAUGCACAUACGAGAGUUGAAUUUGGUCAAUUCUGAUACAUUUUUAUUUUAUUUUUUUAUUUCUUUUUUUAACGACUUUUCUUUGAUAGAUGGAACGACUUAAAAUGCAUGCACGACUGGAGGAAAAAAACAAAUAUUGACCGACUCUGGCCAGCUUCUUCUUCUACAUAUUCUUUAACUUCAACAAAACUAUAGAUUCAAAAAUUAGCAUUAAAUUCUCCUUAUUCUGGGUUUGUAAAUUGUAACGAGAAAUGAAGAUGAAUUUUGGAGUGGGAUCGUUGAAGCUGCUGCUUUCUUCCUCACUACUAUUUGCUCAUCUCUUCCUGCUAAUUUGUUUAUCCAACGCUCAAAAUAACACCACUGCUACGACCGACCCUGCUGAAGGUAUGUAUAUCCAUUUUCUUUAACUAAUUUAAUUUCUUCUCGUUAAUUAAUUCUCUUGCUAGCCAGCCACCGCCCGCCGUUUUCUUUUCUUUAAUUUCUUUUUCUUUUUUCUUUUCUUUGUUUAAUUUGACAUAAAUUAAUUAUGUGUAUGUGCAAUAGCCUGAUUCUUUUCUGAAAACAAUUAACUUUAUAUGCACACUGAGCUGCAGAAAGUCAGAAACCUAGCCAGUAGCUAAAAUAUAUGAAGCUUUUAGUUCAUUAUUUGAAAUUACUAUGUUAGAUGAUAAUUAAGCUAGCAGUGUAGUAAUAUAGAGUUCAUUACUUUACAGUCAGGGAUGUUGGGUCUGUGACUUCUGUUUCAAUAAAAUAUAUUCAUCCCAAUAUCAUCAAUAUAACCCGUAACCGUAAAGAUAUAGAGAUUAGGAUUCAAUAUUGUCCGCCUUGGCCGUACAGCAGAUAUAUAUAUAUAAUUUUUUUUUUCCCCCAAUAACUAUUGGUUCAUUGUUUAGCAAAAACAUAAAUUAAAACUGAACUUUUAUCCAGGAUAUAAAUAUAUGUGUUUCAUUUUGUCCAAUUGGAGGUGUUAUUCUUUUAACUUAGACUAAAAUUUUAUAUUUAUAUAAUUCUGAGUCCUAAAAUUCCAAAAAAAAAAAUCGUGGACUUUUUCUGUUUCCAAAAAGUGAAAGUAGUUGUGCAAUUUCAAUUUAUUUUCCUAAGUCAUAUAUUUCACAUUAUUAUCUCUUUAGACUUCAAACAAACGAGGCUACAUAUAUAUAAAGACCUUUAACUAUUUAACUUCAAUGAUUUCUUCAUCUAAUGGGAUCACUUUUUUUUUUUUUCAAUAUAAUAAUUAUAAUAAUUGAAAUUUUCACAUUGAGAUAUAUCACAGAUACAUACAAUAAUUAAGGACUAUCUUCGCUGCCUGGUUUCAAGCCCCUAUUAGUCAAGCAUGUGGAUCCUUCUUAAUAAAUGAGUUGAAACAUUCGGAAAAAGAGUGAUCCUAAACCUUCCAAAUUAUAUCCCAAACAGUACGAUAUAAAAAAAAAAAAAGGCGAUAACUUAAUUAAUUUAGAGGCAGGACUGAAUUUUGGCAUUCUUUGCUAGAAACUCUUAAUUUAAUUUUUAUCAAAUUUGUUAACUGUGUUUCUACUUUUACAUCGUACACGAGGGAAUUCAAAAUCUUCUAAUUUAAAAUUCGUUGUACAUAUUCACUCUUUAAUUAAUAAUAUAAAAACAGAUAUUGAUUUUAUAUAUAAUCAUAUCUAAAGUGCAUUAACUCUAAAGUGUACAUAUAUAGUCAUUCUCUAAUGUGUGAGCUCUCAUUUUUUUUUUUUUUAAUACGAACACGCUGUUAAAUUGUGCAAUUUAAUAGAGUCAAUAUAAACACGCUUAGGUUGGCAAAAUAUGGGCUUAUGUAAGGUUUUUCCAAGCCUAAGCCCAUGUCCAUAUUGUAGAUAACAAGCCUAGAUCGGUCUAAGUUUGGAUGGACAUGCCCUGAGCCAGACUUGGGCUUCUUCCAUUAAAUAUAAAAUAUUUUUUUAAUAAAGUAAAAAAUAUUUAAAUAAAAAAUAAUUAUCCAAUAUAUAAUAGAAUAAUAGUUUAAUACACAAAAUAUUAUUAACACAACAUAAUAAAUCACAAAUACUAAUAUGAAAAAAAUAUUAAUUUAAUAUUUUGAGUUUUUUAUUUAAAUUUAAUUUAUUUUUUUAUAAAUUAAAAAGGUAGGCCCUUAUUUAGAUCCAAUUUGUGUCGACUUUAUAUUUUUCAACCCAUUUUCAGGCCCAACUCAUGUCGACCAGACUUCAGGGCCGUGUUUUUGUCAACUCUAGACACGCUACUAAAUCACAUGGUUUAGCAGUGUGUUCACAUUAAAAAAAAAAAGAACCCGAACCUGAAAAUGAUUCUCAGGUGCAAGCGCCCUCUUUUUUUUUUUCUUUUUUUAAUGCAGACACGUUUUUAAACCGUAUGGCUUAAAAGAGUAAAAAAAACUAACUCUCUUAAAUACCAUGGUUUAAAAGCAUGUCGCAUAAAAAAAUGGCACCCACACUAGAGAACGACUACAUCACGUUAAAAUAUAUAAUAACAUCUAUGCCUUAUUCAAAAGCAUAUUUGAAAUUUGCACACUUCACAUCUCACUAUAUAUGCAUAUAUCUUAAAUAUAUACAUAUGAGCAUAAACGUGCUUAAAAUGCAAGUCAUGCAGCACUGCACGUCGUGGUCCAACCUCAACUAAUUGGAAAAUGAAUUGUAUGAAAUCCUGAGAAAACCUAGAAAAAUUUGGAUAAAUAAGAAAAUAGUGAACUUGCAACUCAAUGAGUAGAUACAAAUAUAUAUAUUAAAAUAAAGUAGUGCACUGAUAAUUGUACACAAUCAUAUGACAUAAUUCUACACUGAACAUAAUACAUAAGCAAACAUAAAAUCAUAAAUGAGAAAACUGCACUAAAUAAUACCCAGGGGAAAUAAUUGUCGCACUCGUCGGGAUUAUCAUCGCGUGAGUAUAGUGAGGAAUAACCUCUUAAUAUCCAAUGGAAUUUAACUACAUCACACAUGUAUAGUACUCUAACUCUCAAUAUGUAUACACAAAGCACUUAACAAGAAGAGUACACACAUGGUGCUUGGCAAUCACGUUUAGGGACUCAAUCAAUCAUAUAAUGAGCAUACAUAUAAUCAUGAUAUAAUUCUAAAUCAUACUAUUAAAUCAUAUCACAAAUCCUGACUCAAUUACUGUUUUGUUUUGUGGGGCUUCUGUUAAUUCAUAAGAACUUAAAUUUCUUUUAAACACAAGAUUAAAAAAUUAUAGAAAUUUUCCAAUUUAAAAUUUUAAAGUGCGAGAAAGUCCAAUAAAUCUUUUAAAUCCUACAGUAUUAAAGUGUUAAUUUCAUAAUACUUUAAAGAUGUGUAAUUUUAAAAAAUUUUCAGACCUUUUUCACACUUUAAAAUUUUGGACUAAAAAACUACUAUAAAAAAAUUAACGACUGAUAUAAAAACUCAAAAACUCACACGUAUGCUAAAAAUUAUAACAUAACUGUUCAUACUUUCUAAAUCCAUUAUCCACUAAUUCUCGAAAUAUAAUUCUAAUUGUUGAAUUCCAUGUCCCCUCAACUUUCCCGUAUUAGCUUCCAUUAUUACUUGAUUUUCACUCUUGGCUUCUUAAUUUCUUUUCUCCUUAUAUUUUCUUCUUUCUAUUUUAUCUCUUCUUUUCUUUUCUUUUCUUUCUUUCUCUCGUUUUCUUUCAAUUUCUUCUAUCUUCCAAUUGUCUUUUUCGGUUCCAUUAUGAAAAUGGUGAGAGCUGCUUCAAUUCUUCACUUUAUAUGUGCCCACCGUAUAUAAGCAUGCAUGACAAGCACGCAGGUGAAGUAUGCGUGUGCUCUAAUUAAGAGUCUGUUUGGGAUUGAGGUACUGCAACUUUUAAGCUACAAUUGUUGUAAAAAAAAAUUGUAAUUAUAAAAUAAAAAUUAAUAAUAUAUAGUGAAUAUAAUUUUUAAAUAAUAAUUUUGACAAAAUUAUUAAGAUAUAAUAUAUUUUUCAUUAUAUAAGUGAAAAAUCAUAUCAAGAUAGUUUAAAAGAUACAGCAGUUAAUGUUUACCAAACACUUUAGUGCUAUAACUUUUAAGCUACAGCUGUCCAAUCUCAACCCCAAAUGCACCCUAAAGCAAACAGCUUGCUGUUGCUUUUGAAAAUCAGCCGCGUUUGGCUUACAAGCAUGCAGGUGCAUCACAAUAUGUUAAUGAAUUUAUGGAAUUAAAUGAUAUCAUUUGGUAACAAACUAGCAUGCAUGUGUUUGAUGAGCAGUGAGGGCAUUGAACUCAAUACUGCAGCAAUGGGAUGCACCGGCCGUGCCAUUAUGGAACAUAAGUGGAAACCCAUGCAGUGGAUCUGCACUCAAUGCAACUGAUUCUGAAUUUGAGAGCCCAAAUAACAAUCCUGCUAUUGUUUGUAACUGCACCUUUGACAAUGGUGCUACUUGCCACAUUACUAAACUGUAAUGCUCUCUUAGUAUAUCUCUGCGCUUGUUAAUUAAUAUUAAUUUCUAAAAUGGUUGAUGCAUCUGCAAUCUAAUGGUUUGUUUUUUUUUUUUUCACAGGAGAGUAUAUGGACUAAACAAAAAAGGGGUGAUUCCUGAAGAGCUAGUAACUUUGCAAUACCUGACAGUUCUGUAUGGAUUUGUCACUUAUAUAUAUUAUCUGUCAUUCAGUUUGUAUGUAUAAAUCAAAUUUACGUAAUCAACAUGAUUAACAAUUUCUCUUUGAAUUUUGUAGGAAAAUUGAUCAAAAUUUCUUCACUGGCCCCUUGCCUUCAUUUAUUGGAAAUUUGUCUCGAUUGAUGUUUCUGUAAGUAAUGAAAUUGGCUUUUUCUAAUAUUCUCUGAUUUGAUUUUUGGAUUAGGCUGCAAAUUCUUUAUUCUUUGUGUGUUGUGUAACGGAGUGUUAUAUUUUUGUGUACAGGUCAUUUUCCCACAAUGACUUCUCGGGGCCUGUCCCCAGGGAGCUGGGAAACCUUAAGGAGUUAACUGUUCUGUAAGAUUGGAAUUUCAUUUUUAACAAUUUCAUUUUUAUUUUUAUUCUUCUUCUUCUUCUUUUAAAUCAGUGUAAAAAUUUUAAUUUCAAAUUGCAGUGCUUUUGGUACCAACAAUUUCUCAGGAGCGCUCCCUCCAGAACUUGGCAACUUAGCCAAACUUGAGCAACUGUAGUUUCUAAAUUUCUUUCUUUCUUUUUACAUAUUUGAUCAUUAUCAUUUUUUUUUUCAAUUUAGCAAAGCUGCAGGUUUAUGAAACAAAGUAAUUUUCAAUUGAUAAAUUCAACAGUUACAUAGACAGUUGUGGGGCCGGUGGUGAAAUUCCCUCCACAUUUGCUAAACUUCGCAAUAUGCAAACUCUGUAAGCAAAGUUUUUUACAUAUGACAUUUUGUUUCUCUCCGGCAUAAAGAUUGUGCCGCCUAAAUUGAUUAAUUUGUUAAAUUUCAGGUGGGCAUCAGAUAAUCCUUUUACAGGCAAAAUACCAGACUUCAUUGGCAAUUGGACUAAGCUUAAGUCCUUGUAUGCUUCGUAAAACUCCUUGACUAUAUACAUUAUCUGUGUUCUGUGUAGGGCAUUAAAGAUUUUGCUUGGCUUCUGAUAGUUUUCCUAACAUGUUUGUCAAAAUGUUGCUGUAGGAGAUUUCAGGGGAAUUCUUUUCAAGGUCCUAUCCCAUCCAGUUUGUCUAAGUUGGCUUCAUUAGAAUCCUUGUGAGUAAAUCUUUUCCUGACAAUCUCUUGGUCUCUCAUUCCCUCUUUGGAAGCAUGAAUCAUAUCCGUGAUGUUUGAAUUGAUUGUUUAGACAAAUGAGCGAUAUAUAUAACGUGAGUUCAUCUCUUGAUUUCGUUAUGAGUUUGAAGAACUUAACUGACUUGUAAGUAUACUUCCUAUAUAUUUCAUUGUGUUUGGCAGCCUUCUCAUUUUGACUCUUAUUAGUUAUGAGUUGGUUUUUUGUUCUUCUACUCCAUAGGUCCCUAAGAAAUGCUCUGAUCACUGGUACUAUUCCAUUUGGAAUUGGAGAGCUUCAAAUGUUACAGAUAUUGUAAGUUGAUAUUAAGAAAUAAAUUAUAUAGUGCGACUUUCCUUUUCUCAUUUUGAUAUAUAUUUUUCCCAAAAUUUUUAUCUAUAUUUUGCAGGGACUUGAGUUUCAACAACUUAACAGGCCAAAUCCCAGCAACUUUGUUCAAUAUCGAUUCUCUUGAAUACUUGUAAAUUCUUUGAAGCUUUCCUUCAUUAAUUCAAGAUUUUUACUUUUGGACUUUGGCCAUUGUUUUGUUAUUGCUGAUGCUGCUUACGCUGCUUUCAAUGGCCAGGUUUCUUGGAAACAAUAGUUUGUCAGGAACACUUCCUGAUCAAAAAAGUGAAAACCUUCAAAAAAUGUAAGCUUUGGUUCAGCUUUCUGAUUUUAUUGAAAGAAAAAUUCUAGAAAUUCAUUCCUAUGCUUGCUCCUCAAUGUGCCCUUAUACCCACAGAUAAACACUGAUUUUCUCCUCAGUACUUGCAAUUCAAACCAUGAGAAUAUACGUUGCAUGUUUUGAUUUGAAAGUGUUUUAGAUUUAGGCCAGUGAUUAUCAUCUUCCAUGCAUGCAUCAGCUGUGACUUCUGGCUUCUUUCUCUGGGAACAAAACAAUAUACUCAGCCAGGUUUUUUAUUUGUCUAACAUAUAUAUACGUUGGUUCACAUGUUUGAACUUGUUUACUAGUGCUUAACAAAAUUUUUCCUGCAGAGAUUUAUCUCAUAAUCAUCUAUCAGGAACUUUUCCAUUGUGGGUGAAUUCAGAAUUACAAAUGUAUGUCUCUUAAACUAUGAUAAUGCUCCGUUCAUCUUCAUUUUCUAGAAUUGCCUCUUUGUGCUGGAGUUCAGACCUUGUCAAGCUUAUUGCUCAUACUAAACCAAUGGUCCUAGUUUCUUUACUUUUAUCAUUGUACUAUAACAGUUGUAUGAGAAUUUCAUGAAGUCUCUUGCCCUUGCAUCUCUGUCCAAAAAUUUUACAAUUAAUGCAUUGCAUGGAACUGUAUAGGAAUCUGGCAGUGAACAACUUCAAAUUUGACAUAUCAAACAUAAGGUGAGUUUUGGUCCUUUACUUUUCCUUUAAUCAUGUUAACAGAUAAUGUGAACUAAUUGUUCUCUGUGCUUGCCAGUGUCUUUCCAGGAUUGAACUGUCUUCAGAGGAACUUCACAUGCAAUAGAAAUGCUCCACAAUGUAAGCUGCCUUCUCUGUGCUGUUUGCAGUACCAUAUUUUCAUAAGCUAUUGUGGCUCCACACUUAAGAAGAAAGAACGCUUGUCUAACUAUACUUCUGAAUUGCUGAGGAAAAAACUUUAAUAAGAGCAGGAAGUAGUACAGAAGUUUUAAAUAUGACUUCAGGUAGCUUUGUUGCAAGUGGGGAUAAUUUUUGUUACCACUGUCAGUCGAAAUUGUAGAGUAGUUACAUUGUAAAUUUGGUGUAUUAAGCCAUCUUGGCUUUAAAAAGCUUUGAUGUGAUAAAGUGAGUUUGCAUGUGAUGAGAAUUGAAAAAUAUUUGUAACGUGCUGGAUGUGUAAAUAAAAAAAACACUGCCUGAAUGAUUUCCUAUUACCCAGUUAUUGACCUUUAUGCAAAAAAAUUGUUGAAAUUUGAUGUCGGAAUUCAAUCUGAAAAUAGCUAGCGAUUUUUGUCUUUGCAUUUGCAGAUGCAAACUUCUCAAUCAAAUGUGCUAGUCCAGAAAUGAGAGCUGAUAACAUAGUGUAUGAGGGUGAUAACUCAUAUCUUGGCGCAUCGGCCUUUGUUGUGACCAAUACAGAAAAAUGGGCAGUUAGUAAAGUGGGUCUGUUUAAUGGAAGAGAAAAUGCAUCUUAUGUGCUAAACACUCAAGAUCAAGUGACGGGCACCAGGACUCCAAAGCUUUAUCAGACGUCAAGGAUAUCCGCCGGAUCACUUAGAUACUAUGGCCUGGGUCUUGUGAAUGGACCUUAUAAUGUAAGCUUGUUAUUCGCAGAAACAAAUUUUCCUGAUCCAAGCACAGAAAGGUGGGAGAGUCGUGGAAGGCGUGUUUUUGAUAUCUAUGUUCAGGUAAACAAAUGCCCUGAACCAAAAAUUUGGAGCCGGAGAUCAUGUGAUUCCGAGAUUACAAUCUCUCUCUCUCUCUCUCUUUAUGCAUUGAGAAAUAAUAAUUCUAUCUCUAAUUGUCGAUCUUCUAGGGAACUCUCCGGUGGAAGGAUUUUGACAUAUCAAAGGAGGCGGGAGGGCCUAACAGAGCUAUUAUAAAAAACUUCAGUGCUACUGUGUCAGAAAACCAUCUCGAAAUUCACCUAUUUUGGGCUGGUAAAGGGACCUGCUGCAUACCUAAACAAGGUAAUUAUGGACCAGCAAUUUCAGCUCUCAGUGUCGUUUCAGGUAAAGCAUAUGAUUCGAGUGAAUCUUCAUUUAAGAUGGAAUAUAAUAAAUAAAAUGGCUUACAUGCUUCUCUGCUCCUAAUAACUGAGUUUUUACUGCUCAGCUUUCAAACCAUCUGUAAGUGGAUUACCCCCAAGUACUCCGGGGAAUAAGAACCACACAGGGUUGAUUGUUGGCAUUGCAGUACCUCUUGGAAUUUUGGGCUUGAUAGUGAUAUCUAUAAUGUUCUACUUGUGGAGAGAAAAAGACAACGAUGAUGAGGAAGGUAAGAAGAGUCCGUUGACAAUUUAACAAUAUGUAAUAGGAGUUGUAGCAAGCUUGUUCAUGAAACUCAAUGAAUUUGUAAUUCCAUAUUGGUAGAUGUUCCACUUAAUUCAUCUUUUGUCAUAUAAAUCCUUCAUUAUUUUGUAAUUUUGAUAUCACAAACAGUUAUGGUAUCCCAUCCUAUACUCUGUCCAUAAUUUUUGUCUUGGUUUGGGCCUGCAGUGCUAGUUGGGAUAGGCUCUAAACCAAACAUUUUCGGCUAUGCUGAGUUGAGAUCUGCAACAAAAGACUUUAACCGUUCAAACAAGCUUGGAGAGGGAGGAUAUGGACCUGUGUACAAGGUAACAGCUAAUUCAUAGUUGUCUUGCAUCCUGGCUUUGCCAUCAAUGGGUGAUCAUAGCCUGACAUUGCAACUAGAAAACAAAGCAAUUUUCACUAGGAUGUAGGGGAUAUUUUUCAAAUUGUUAAAUGUUGUACUUGACAGGGUACUCUAUCUGAUGGGAGAGUAAUAGCUGUGAAGCAACUUUCAAUAGCAUCUCACCAAGGGAAGAAUCAAUUUGUAAAUGAGAUUGCUACCAUAUCUGCAGUGCAACAUCGCAAUCUUGUGAGAUUGUAUGGAUGCUGCAUUGAAGGAGCCAGGCGCCUCCUUGUUUAUGAGUAUCUUGAAAACAAAAGCCUCGAUCAAGUAUUGUUCGGUAUGAUUAUCAAUUCAUCUUACUACUAAUAAGUAGUAGAAAAUAGCGCAAACGCCGUGUUUUAACUUGGUUGCUGAGGCAAAGAAUUCAAAGAAGAAAGUGCUGAGUCACUGACUUUUGGAAAUAGCAUGAUCUAUUUUGUAAUCUUAAAUCCAGAAUAUAUUGUUUAGACAAUGUCCAUAACUGCAAAUUAGCCACAAUCACUAUCCUAAAGCUGAUUGACAAUGUCUCAGUGAGACCUCAUGCAGAUAAAUGAAUUGUCAAUUUGUCCUUCUUUAAAAUGAUCAAAAUCACUUUCAGAUUGUAUAAUCUUAACUCCAUAAAUUUCUAACCACUGCAGCCAACAUUUCUGCAGGAGACAAUGAAUUGCAUCUGGAUUGGCCUACCAGGUUCAGCAUAUGCUUGGGAACAGCAAGAGGGCUGGCUUAUCUUCACGAAGAAUCCAGGCCUAGGAUUGUACAUCGAGAUGUCAAAGCAAGUAAUAUUUUACUUGAUGCAGAGCUCUGCCCCAAGAUAUCGGAUUUUGGAUUGGCAAAGCUGUAUGAUGACAAGAAAACCCACAUCAGCACAAGAGUUGCAGGGACCGUGUAAUCUCCUUUAACAUUUCUUCUUACCAUUCUUCCAAAAAUGAUAAUUCCAUAGUGCAUAAUACAGGCCUUAUCUUCCAAUUUUUGGAUACAAUGGAGUUUGGAGAUUUUGAUCGAUAACUAUUGAUCUUGUAGUGGAUAUUUGGCACCGGAGUAUGCAAUGCGCGGACACUUGACAGAGAAGGCCGAUGUUUUCAGUUUUGGCGUUGUUGCGUUGGAGAUCAUAAGUGGAAGAGCAAGCUCUGACAAAAGUUUGGAUAUGGAAAAGAUUUAUCUUCUCGAAUGGGUGAAGAAAAUAAUCUUGAACUUAAUUCUGCUUUCUUCCUUUCUUAUCUCUGCAUUCUUCUGGUUAAAGAAACUUAAUUUUUUAAAUCUUUAUCUGAAUUAUUGUCUAUAUGAUGUUUCUAGGCUUGGAAUCUCCAUGAAAAUAAUCAAAGUUUGGGGCUUGUAGAUCCUACAUUAACAGAGUUUAACGACAAGGAAGCUCUUCGGGUGAUAGGAGUAGCUCUCUUGUGCACUCAAACAUCACCAAUGAUGAGGCCACCAAUGUCACGCGUUGUGGCCAUGCUUGCUGGGGAUAUAGAAGUUGGCACAGUUGUUUCAAAGCCAAGUUAUUUGACAGGUUGGGAUUUUAAAGAUAUAACAGCAAGCUUUUUGAACGAAGACACGCCAACGCCUUCAUCAUCUAAUAAAAGAAGUAACAGCAAGAAGAAAAGCCAAAGAGAAAAUCCAGUUGACGAUCAUAGUGAAGGAAUUGAUGCAUUACUCUUCCCAGUAAAUGUCACACAGCUAGCUGUUAUCAUAGCAGAAGGGAGGUGAGAAAUAUUUUUGUCGCUCGCUGCUGUGAUCUUACUAUUUGCUAGUUUCUGAAACAAAGACAGCCUAGUGCUGGUGGAGGAUGUUGGGAAAAUAUAUUCUUUCAAAGCAUGUGUGUUUAUUUAAUUGUAAUAAAUAAUUUUUUUGAGUAAAGUCUAUUGCUAGGGAUGGCAAUGGGGAGGGGAGGGGAGGGGAGCAAUCUCCCCGUACCCAUCUCCGAUAUUUUGCGUAUGUCCCCGUCCCCUCCCCGUCCCUGUCAGAAUUACUUGAGAGAAUUUACAUCCCCUCCUUGAAUAAUAAUAGGGGAUCCCAAGGGUCCCCGAUCCCCGAAUAACUAAUAUAUUUUUUGUUUUCGAUUUUCAGUUAAUCAUAUUAAAAUAAAAAAUUCAAAUAAAAAGUACAGUUUGAAAUAUAUCUUACAUUAAUAUCCAUUACAAAAGUCACAUACAUUAAAUUAGUAAGUAACGCAGCAUGAAAGGAAUACAAACUUCUUUUACAAACUAUCGUGAAUAAAUUAAUAGUCUAAUACAAAAUUAUUACAAAUAAAAUUAAAUUUAGAUUCAAAAUUAAUUUUUUCAAUGGUGGCGUGGGCACUUUAUAAAUGUGGACUAUUCCCUUUACAGCACAAUAAUUAAGUCGGAGCAAAUCAAGAGCAAAUAUUAGAUUAGAUUAGAUUAGGUUAGAUUAAAUUAGAUAUUAAAAUUGUGAUUCGCUGUGGGCAAUUAUAACAUCUAAAAAUAAAUUAAAAAUAGAUUUAAGUUUAAAACAUUUAAUGAAUAUUAAAAUUAAAACAAAGUUUUGGGCUAAUAGAAUUUACCUUGUUUUUUUAAUGUCCUAAAUAAAAAUUUAGGACUUUAAUUAGUUAAUUAGGCCUAAAAGUUUAAUAAUAUAAAUAUUUUGAUAUUUGUUAUUUUUACCAAUAUUUAUAAUUUUAUAAUUCAAAUUUUAUAAUUUAUUUACUAGUAAUUUUAAAAAAUAAAAAUAAAAUUAAAAAUUAAAAUGGGGAAAUGGGUAGGGGAUGGGGAUUCCACCUCAUCCUCGUCCCCUCCUCGAAUAAGAAAUUGGGUAAAAAAAUUUCACUGUCCCUUCCCCGAAUAAGAAAUUGUGUAUGAAAUUAUCCUUAUACCCUCCCCGAAUAGGGAAAAUCCGCGAAGGUACCCGUCCCCGUGGAGAUUUUUGCCAUCCCUAUCUAUUGCAUAGUUUAUUUAAUUGUAAUAAAUAUCUUAAUUGCAUAAUUUUUUUAGUAAAGUCUAUUUAAUCAUAUUAUAUGUAUUUAUGUGAUCACCAUGUGGAUUCACAGAAGACAUAAAUACAAGUUAUCUUAUGAUUAAAUAAAUUAAGUUUGCAGUUGAUAAAUAAAGUUGGGCACUUUAUUUAGGUUUAAACUGUAGUAAAUUAAUUGAAUGAUUUGUCUUAAUCAUGUAUGAAUUUACUGAUGUAGUUUAACUACAUUGAGCUGGAUCACAUAUGCGAUUUAAUUAACUUUGAAAUAACUGUCAGACUUAUUAAAUCUCAUAGCUAUUAAUUUUACUGUAAUCUUAAUCUUGAGUUAGUUAUGAUUUCAUAAUUGUAAUUAUUAUUACAUUUGAGUUACCAAUAAGCGCAACACACACUUGUGGUCAAGAUUACCCAGUAUUUUGGUGGGAGAAAUUAUGAGUAUUGAAAUUAUAGAUUAACAAAGUAAAAUUUGUACGACACAUCUGGUAAUGGGUUUUCGGCACUUGAUAAUAGAAUUCUCUAGUCAGAGUGUGUCAACAUAUUUAGUAUGUUGAAAAUGAUCAUUAAAGAAAAUCAAUAAGUAUCAAGGAAUAAGAUGUUAUUAAAUCAAUUAGACAGUUGAGAUAUCGAUUUAAUUAACGAUGUGGUACAAAUGAUUAUGCAGUAAAGAAAUCAAUGUAGCAUGGUUCGAAUUAUUAUUCGAGAACACUAUCUUGGAUAUCAUACAAUUAUGGAGGUCAGUUCCAAUCUUUUAGUGGAGUAGAUUUAGAAUUAAAUAAUUUAGCUAGUUUAAUUAUAUGUCUAAUUAUUGUAUCCACUAUUGUAUGUACCAAUUUGAUUCUCAGGUUAGCUCAUUUAAUUGACUGCGCCGCUACUGGAUUAAUAAGCAAGAUAACUAACUAUUUGGGUUAAAAGUUUAAAUAUAUUAUUUAGUGCGAGGCUCCAUAUAAUGUGUUUAUUUCUAAGGGAUCUUAUGUUAUUUUACAAGGUGGGCCCUUAUGACAAGAAAAAGUAAGUAAUCGUGACUUUUGUUUUUUGGAGUCUAAGAUUUUCACUAGAUAAAGAUAUAAAAAGGUUUAUUUUUUUUCCAAAAGCAGGAGCAGCCACUUUAUACAGAUCAGAGACAAAAAAAUUUCUCUCUAAAUUUGAGAGAAAAAUUUUCUUCUGCUAAUUGCUUAUAGUGGUGAUAAAAGCCCUCACACGUCAAGUGCAGAUCAAACCUGAAUCAUAAUCCGAAAGAUUAUUUGGUGACCGAUCGUGAUCUAACUAGCGUGGUGGUAACGGAUCGUGAUCUAACCAGCGCUGUGGUAACGGAUCGUGAUCUAACAAGGGUGGUAGUGACAUAUCGUAAUCUGUGAGCUUAAAUCACUUCGUAGAAAAAAGCAAAGAUUGUUCAUUUUCUCAAAUUUUUAAGAUACGAUUUUUAAAUUAUGAAUUCUUAUAUAUUGUAUGAAAUCGAUCCAAAAAAAAAUUUUCUUUUUAAAUCUUAAAAACUGAAUUUUUUUUCUCCAACAGAUGAAUCAUCUGCUUCUUACCGUGCCUUGAAUUUCUCUUGCGGGGCUAUUUAUAGCAAUUACAGUCGAUGCGUAUGUAAAGCGCAAACAAAUGUUAUAUGACUACGAGUGGCAGUCAACAUUCCCGGAGUUCAUUAAAAACUUCUGAUUUUGGGAAGACAUCAAUGCACGUAAAUAAAAUGAAACAAGUCCUCCUCAAAAUAACAAACAAAAUGUAUUUGUAGACCGUUAAUUACCCUUAUUAAUGUAUUGAGGUAACAAGCAUGUUGUAUUAUUAUUCUUCAUCUUUCCAUCUUCUUUUUCGCUUCAUGUUCUAUUACACUGGUUUAAAAAUUCUGAAAUCAUAGCUUUCAGUUAAAAGUUAGUUUAGAUAGAAAAUGGGUCGGCUGAUUAGAGGGCUUUUGGCACAUGUUGAAUCCGAACACCAUGAGAAGGCUCCAUACACCAUGAGAAGGCUCUAUGGGGUCUUUUUUUUUUAAAAAAAAAAAUUAUAACAAGAAUCAACAAAAUACUAUACCUUUAUAAUUGCGGGGAUGAAUAGCCAUCUCAAUAUCUAUUUAAGGUGCUUGCUAAGUUACAUAAUUAUAUAACUUACAUCAACUCAACAUUUACUACUACUAAUAUAAAAAUAUAAACAAUAAAAUCUAAAUAUGUGUUAAUAGUAGUAAGUGUUGGAUUUAUGUAAAUUACAUGAUUAUAUAACUUAACAACUACCUUUAUUUAACCUUGUUUUCUCUUAUGAGAAUUCUCCUCAUAUUCGCAAGAAAGCAACCUUGUAGUAGUAUUAUUUUUACUAUUAUUAUCCGAAGCUCCUUUCAUUUGAAUGAAAUCCAGCGCAUCUAGCCACUUGUCUGAAAGUAACUGGCCCAACAAUAAAAGUAACCGUUAGAGCUUGAACGUUAAGCCAACCGUUGAGAAAGAAACCUGUUUUAAAGGAAGAGAGAAUCCGAAACCUCCAGAUCAUCGUCAACAUCAUAGUCCAUUCAUAGCUCUCUCUUAUUCACUUAUUCUCUUAUUCUUAUAUAAACCUCUCUUUUGCUGCGAUUUCUGAUCAUCAAAUCAAAUAAAGAUGGGUAUGGUGGUGGUGAUAUCCCUGCCGUUGAUCUUGUUCAGCCUGUUGCUUGGAUUUGGAUGCUAUUACUUGGGAAGAGCUAGAGGAAGACAAGAUAUCAGAACCAAUCCACAAGUUUUUGGGGUGCCAGCGCCUCCGCCAGGCACAGGCAGUGAAGCUACUACAUUCACUUACCCAUCCCCUCCUGCUGCUGCUGCUGCU
rnacentral:lncRNA from 1 species